GUGUCAGCAGCCGCGGUAAUACGAAGGGUGCAAGCGUUACUCGGAAUUACUGGGCGUAAAGCGUGCGUAGGUGGUUUGUUAAGUCUGAUGUGAAAGCCCUGGGCUCAACCUGGGAACUGCAUUGGAUACUGGCUUACUGGAGUGCGGUAGAGGGUAGCGGAAUUCCCGGUGUAGCAGUGAAAUGCGUAGAUAUCGGGAGGAACAUCCGUGGCGAAGGCGGCUACCUGGACCAGCACUGACACUGAGGCACGAAAGCGUGGGGAGCAAACAGGAUUAGAUACCCUGGUAGUCCACGCCCUAAACAAUGCGAACUGGAUGUUGGGAGCAACUAGGCUCUCAGUAUCGAAGCUAACGCGUUAAGUUCGCCGCCUGGGAAGUACGGUCGCAAGACUGAAACUUAAAUGAAUUGACGGGG
rnacentral:rRNA from 1 species